UACGUAGGGUGCAAGCGUUAAUCGGAAUUACUGGGCGUAAAGCGUGCGCAGGCGGCUAUGCAAGACAGAUGUGAAAUCCCCGGGCUCAACCUGGGAACUGCAUUUGUGACUGCAUGGCUAGAGUACGGCAGAGGGGGAUGGAAUUCCGCGUGUAGCAGUGAAAUGCGUAGAGAUGUGGAGGAACACCGAUGGCGAAGGCAGCCUCCUGGGCCAGCACUGACGCUCAUGCACGAAAGCGUGGGGAGCAAACAGG
rnacentral:rRNA from 1 species